UGUUUCAAGUGUUUGUUUUAUUGUUACUUAUGUUAUUUGGACGUGUAGAGGCGCAACUAUAUCAAGCGGCAUUCGCUACGUUUGGUGGGUCUAUGGGCCUGCGCCCGCUGCGCGAGGAUGAGGAGAGCUGGUACGAACAAAUUAGAGGCAAUUUUAUGUACCCUGUUGCUGAUGCAUUUGCCUCGCCGCCUACCAUGACUGAAGGUGCGCAAUUCUAUAAACCUCGUCCUUUGCGCUCCGUGACUUCUGCUGGGAAAGAGCUUGUCUAUCUUUCCAGCGAGGAGUCUGUAGGGUCUUCAAACGGCGAGCUAAGUUCGUGGUAUAACAUCUUUGCAGGUGUGUUGCGCGACCUGAGAAUUGACCCAGAAGAGAAGAAGAAACCCCUAAAGAAGAAGAAGACAGUUAACUUGGAUUUGGAGGUGACCAGUAAGGGGGCUGGUAGUAGUCGCGCAACCGCUGCCGCUGUUAAAGGUACUCUUCGCCUUCGACAGAGUGACUUAAACGAUUAUGUGAUAAUAAGAGACUCACUUAAAGGCUUAUUGCGCACAGCUGAGAGAAAAACUGGAGCGGGUGGCUCAAGGAGCUCUGGCAGCGCGGGUUCUCGUAACCCUGAUGCUGGCGCGACCCCUUCCGUUCAUGAAGAAGAGGAAGCUGAAGAAGAAGAGGCUGCUGUACAGUUGGUCAGCAGAAAAAGGGUUAGAAGCGAGACCACAACUAGUGUGGUUGCUGUGCCGCUAACUGAUGCGUUUGCCUUAGUUGGGAAGACGAGCAACCUGCGCUCUCUAUAUAAAUUUUCUCCUGGUAAGCUCUUGAUUUUUCUCCCUUUAGUUAUUUUACUUGUUUAAUUACUUGUUUUUUGCAGAGAUCAAGAAGAAAACCCCUGAGAAGGGUGUUAAGUUUACUGAGCCAGAGCCGAAGAGGCCGAAGAUUACUAUCAAGUCUUCUCAGACUGCUGGUGUUGAUUCUGCUAAGGAGAAAAACGUUGCUGAGAAGGAUGCCGAGAAGGCUGCUGAGGCGCAGAGGCAGGCUGGGGAGCGCAGGAAGAAGAGUGAGGAAGAGAAGAAGAGAAAAGUUGAUGAAGAUAAGAAAUCUGAAGAAGAGAAGAGGAAAAAGGCUGAGGAGGAGAAGAGAGCGGAAGAGAAGAAGGCUACGGAAAAGCCUGUCAAUGUUCAGGAGUUUGAGGUCAUUAAGGGUCCUGAGAGAAGGCAAGAGCCUGAAGUUGUCAAGUCUACCCACCCCGCGCAUGCUGAGGCCCAUGACCGAUCAAAGAUAGUUACUUCCAAGGGGUCGGGUCGGUAUGUAUCCAGCGGCGCGAGCUCUGGUGGGGCUGGGGGCUAUAACCCAAAUGUCAUUGGGGCGAAGGAUACCGUCGGUGAUAUCUAUUAUAAGAGUUAUACUGAGGAGGAACGCGGUAGUGCUCCUCACCAAGCUCCCUGAGGUUUGAAGCAAAAGGACACUUUCCAGGAAUUUGGGCCCUGCCGUGAUUGGUUUCUUAACUCUUUUACUCCUGGUGAAGUUAAUCGGCAGAGGGCGAAGACCCAUGAGAUGUUGUAUCGGACCUACGUGAUCGGGGAGGCCAAUGCUCGCGCCGCCAAUUAUCAGAUAGUUCGUGAAUGGCGAACGAUGGUUAGGGAGCGGGCAGAUUGGGAGGGUUAUCGCGAGCGGAUGCUAAAGCGUAUCGCUGAUUUUGAGAAGUCAAAGGCCACCUUUGAUGAGGAAAAGGCCAAGUUUGAUGCAGACAAGAAGGCGGAGGAGUGGGGGCGCGAGGGCUUAAAAAAUAAACUUUAAGCUGCUGAGCAGCAACUGGCUAAGGAGAAGGCCGAGUUCAAGCGCAUAUGCGAGAAGGAUAAUGAGCGUGCCUACGCCGCUCGGAACAAGAUUGUUGAGCUUGAAGCGAAAAUUGCUGAGCUUACGGCGAAGGUUGAGGAUGCGCAGGCUACACAGGAUGCGAAGCAGCAGAUUGAGGUUGAAUUGGUCGAUGUGAAGGCGCAAUUGUCUGGCAAAGAUAAGGAUCUGCAUGCCAAGGACGUCGAGAUCGCUGAGCUUAAACGUCGCCUGAAUGACCAGAUUGAUAGGUGCGAGUCCUUAGAAAUCGACCUCGAAGCGGAAAAAGUUAAGGCUGCCACUGCUGAAGAGGGCAUGCUGUCAGCGCCGCCGCCCUCAAUGUAGCGCAGACCAACUACUCGGAGGCCCAAGGAAUCGUUGAUACACUUGUGUCUGAGGCUGAAUGGAUGCGCAGUCGUGGAGUAGUGCUGGUAAGUUUAUACUUGCAUAUUUUUGCAUGCUUAAUUUGCUAGCUGGCUUUAAUAUGUGGUUUUCGUUGUAGGUUGCCAACUCUAUCCUCAAUGCUGGCGAGCUGGAUCGCGCUGUCGCUGCUCUUACAGAUGCUGCGCGCGCGGUGGGUCAUCGAGGGGGCUAUCUGGAAUGUGCCCAACAUGUUGAGGAGAUGUUCGGACAAGAGUUUGAUGUGAGCCAUUGCUCGGUGACCGACCAGGCUAAUGCUGCGCUGACGCGUGCUGAGGAUGCUUAUGACAACCUUACUUUGCCUGUAAUGGAUUUGGUUGUGGAAGCUUUAAAGAAAGACGACUGGUGCCAACGUCUCAAAACCAUUCUCGAUCCACCAGUGACUGUUGAGUUGUCGGAUGAGGAACCAGUUGGCGAUGAUGGUGGAAAUGGUGAUGAUGGUGGGAAUGGUGAUGAUGGUGGGAACGAUGAUGAUGGCGAUGAUGAUGGUGAUCAACAUGACGAAUUAGAAUAGGCUUUGUCGAUAGGCUUUGUGCCUUGUAAUUUUUUGCUCUUUUUUGCUGUACAUUG